AUUGAACGCUGGCGGCAUGCCUUACACAUGCAAGUCGAACGGUAACAGGUCUUCGGAUGCUGACGAGUGGCGAACGGGUGAGUAAUACAUCGGAACGUGCCCGAGAGUGGGGGAUAACGAGGCGAAAGCUUUGCUAAUACCGCAUACGAUCUCAGGAUGAAAGCAGGGGACCGCAAGGCCUUGCGCUCACGGAGCGGCCGAUGGCAGAUUAGGUAGUUGGUGGGAUAAAAGCUUACCAAGCCGACGAUCUGUAGCUGGUCUGAGAGGACGACCAGCCACACUGGGACUGAGACACGGCCCAGACUCCUACGGGAGGCAGCAGUGGGGAAUUUUGGACAAUGGGCCCAAGCCUGAUCCAGCCAUGCCGCGUGCAGGAUGAAGGCCUUCGGGUUGUAAACUGCUUUUGUACGGAACGAAAAGACUCUGGUUAAUACCUGGGGUCCAUGACGGUACCGUAAGAAUAAGCACCGGCUAACUACGUGCCAGCAGCCGCCGUAAUAC
rnacentral:rRNA from 1 species